rnacentral:rRNA from 1 species
GUCCACGCCGUAACGAUGUCUACUAGCCGUUGGUUCCUUGAGGACUUAGUGGCGCAGCUAACGCAAUAAGUAGACCGCCUGGGAGUACGGUCGCAAGAUUAAACUCAAAUGAAUUGACGGGCCGCACAAGCGGUGGAGCAUGUGGUUAAUUCGACGCAACGCGAAGAACCUUACCAGGUCUUGACAUCCAGAGAACUUUCCAGAGAUGGAUUGGUGCCUUCGGGAACUCUGAGACAGGUGCUGCAUGGCUGUCGU